UCGAGGGGCAGCGGGUAGAUGAGCUUGCUCAUUUAUGCCGGCGACCGUUGCACGGGUGAGUAACACGUAUGCAACCUGCCCGUCUCAGGGGGAUAAUCGUCGGAAACGGCGUCUAAUACCCCGUAUGAAGCUGGACGGCAUCGUCUGGUUUUGAAAGAAUAUCGGAGACGGAUGGGCAUGCGGCGCAUUAGCUAGUUGGCGGGGUAACGGCCCACCAAGGCGACGAUGCGUAGGGGUUCUGAGAGGAAGGUCCCCCACACUGGUACUGAGACACGGACCAGACUCCUACGGGAGGCAGCAGUGAGGAAUAUUGGUCAAUGGGCGAGAGCCUGAACCAGCCAAGUCGCGUGAGGGAGUACUGCCCUAUGGGUUGUAAACCUCUUUUGUCGGGGAGCAAAAGCCGGACGUGUCCGUCUGUGAGAGUACCCGAAGAAAAAGCAUCGGCUAACUCCGUGCCAGCAGCCGCGGUAAUACGGAGGAUGCGAGCGUUAUCCGGAUUUAUUGGGUUUAAAGGGUGCGCAGGCGGAUUUUUAAGUCAGCGGUCAAAUCGUGGGGCUCAACCCCAUCCAGCCGUUGAAACUGGGGAUCUAGAGUGUGCGAGAGGUAUGCGGAAUGCGUGGUGUAGCGGUGAAAUGCAUAGAUAUCACGCAGAACCCCGAUUGCGAAGGCAGCAUACCGGUGCACAACUGACGCUCAGGCACGAAAGCGUGGGUAUCGAACAGGAUUAGAUACCCUGGUAGUCCACGCAGUAAACGAUGAAUGCUACCUGUUUGGCCAGAUUGAAGGCUGAGCGG
rnacentral:rRNA from 1 species